GCUGUGAUGGCCGAGUGGGUAAGGCGUUGGACUCAAAAUCCAAUGGGGUAUCCCCACGCAGGGUCAAAUGAUGCUCAGCAGCU